AUGGAUAACACAGGGAAUGAAGUAUACAGCAAGAGGAAACAAACAGACACCAACACCCUGACACAUUUUCACAAAGAACAGAACACAAUCUUCAUCAUCACACAAGACAAAAGAACAACAAUGAACACAAUCACCUUCUUCAUCUGGACUCUCACACUGUUUAUUCAAGGUUUCAGUGGACAGGUGACUGUGACUCAAACUCCUUCUGUAAAAACGGUUCAGAUUGGUGAAUCUGUCACUAUAAACUGCAAAACAAACACAGCAGUGAGAGAUGCCUGUCCAGGUUCAUAUACUUGUAUGGCCUGGUACCAGCAGAAACCUGGAGAAGGUCCUAAACUCCUCAUAUAUUAUGCAACAAGCCGUUAUCCUGGAACUCCAUCUAGAUUCAGUGGCAGUGGAUCUAACAGUGAUUUCACUCUGACCAUCAGUGGAGUCCAGACUGAAGAUACAGGAGAUUAUUACUGUCAGAGUUUACACUAUAUCAACAGUCAAUAUGUGUUCACACAGUGA